AUAGUGAUCUAGAAGCCUCUAUUAUGGGCUAUAUUUGCAUUCAGUUUCAUUUUCUCUCUCUUUGGAAGUCAUAACUGCCACAACCAGGUCUGUAAGCACACUUCUUUCAUCAAGGCCAAGCAGAAUGUCAUGACAUUUCUAUAUAAGCUUGAUCCUGUUUUUCAGUUCGUUGCAGGCUGUUCCCGGUGUCGUGUUCUCUGUGUGUUGCUUCCUGGUUUUUGGAUUCUGGACUUUCAUUGUGUGCCCUGUUUUCUGGGUUGGAUUAUCCUUGUUCUCUGAUACCCGCUGUAGCCCUGCGCCACCCGGUGCCACGCCACUCCGCACGCCUCCGUUCUGCACGCCACAGCCUCUGCCUCAACUGACCCUUGGAGUGAAGUUAUUGUACAGCGUUUUCCUGUCAAUAAAUAUUGUUAUUCUUGCA